rnacentral:rRNA from 1 species
UACGUAGGGGGCAAGCGUUGUCCGGAAUCAUUGGGCGUAAAGAGCGUGUAGGCGGCCUGAUAAGUCGGUUGUGAAAGUCAAGGGCUCAACCCUUGAAUGCCGGCCGAUACUGUCAGGCUAGAGUCCGGAAGAGGCGAGUGGAAUUCCUGGUGUAGCGGUGAAAUGCGCAGAUAUCAGGAAGAACACCAGUAGCGAAGGCGGCUCGCUGGGCCAUACCUGACGCUGAGACGCGAAAGCGUGGGGAGCAAACAGG